UAGUAGCCUAGUGUGUAAGCAGGCACGCACUCAUACCCGUUUGGGUAGCCACUGAGACUAGCUACAAAGGAAGGUAACCUACAACAUUGCACUGAACCAUUCAAGGCGCGUGGAGGGACAAACUGGUUAUAAUUACAUUGCAGUCUGUUUAAAGAAUAGGAUAUGUCCUGUAGUUUACCAGUAAUUCUUCGGUUUAAUUUGUUGCCCAACUUAGAGGCUACACUUUCACAGAAAAUAUUUGGCCGGUUCACGUUCACGUUUGGUCAGACAAUUGCAGUGACGAAUAGAGGGGAGCAAAGAACACCUCAGCAAGCUCACCUGACCGCGGAACAAACAAAAGAGCCAUUUAUUUGAAAGAGGAUUGGCAGAUCUGAAUGGGAUGUUAGUGUGGUGGGGUGGAGGACCGACUGAAGGAGCAUGGUGAAGCACCAACCCCUGCAAGUCUACGAGAGGCAGCUCUGUUUGUCAUGUCUGACCGGGAUCUAUGGAUGCCGCUGGAAACGCUAUCAGCGGUCACAUGAUGACACCACCAAGUGGGAGUUCCUGUGGUCCCUCAUCUUGUUUGCCACCUUCUCGUUACUACUGGUCUGGUUCUACUUCUGGUGGGAGGCACACAAUGACUACAAUGAGUUUAACUGGUUUUUAUAUAACCGCUCAGGAGAGUGGAGCGAUGGGACGGUUCCAAUCCUGGCCACCACUGCCGCUGGCUUCACAUACAUAGCCUUUCUACUGAUCUUAGCUCUGUGCCAUGUAGCUGUGGGACAGCAGCUGAACCUGCACUGGCUGCACAAGAUUGGUGUGACAGCCGCCCUGCUGACCACGGUCAUUGGCAUGAUCUCUGUGAACCAGAUGUGGGGGGAGGAGUGGGACAUCGUCAUGAUUUCACUACAGGCCACAGGUCCCUUCCUGCAUAUCGGCGCCCUGGCAGCAGUGACGGCUUUGUCCUGGCUGGUGGCAGGACAGGUGGCACGUGCCGAGAAAACACGAUUCCAAGUGCUGGUGAUGGUCCUGUACCUGAGUGUGCUGUUGGCUCUCUACUUGGCCCCUCUCUCCAUCACCUCCCCCUGCAUCAUGGACCAGAGCAGCCUCAAACCACCGCCCAAUAUCAUUGGCCAUCAGGGUGCCCCCAUGCUGGCUCCAGAAAACACAGCUUUGUCCUUCCAGAGGGCUCUGCGUCUCAACGUCAGCGGCCUGGAGGCAGACGUCACUAUAAGUGUGGAUGGUGUGCCCUUUCUGAUGCGUGACCGCACCCUGAAGAGGACUACAGACGUAGAGCAAGUGUUUCCUGACAGGCAGUUUGACGACGCAUCCCUCUUCAACUGGACAGACCUCUCCUCUCUCAACGCGGGCCGGUGGUUCAUCAAGGAUGACCCCUUCUGGAUGGUGCAGUCGCUGUCUCCGCGAGAUCUGCAGCAGGUGGAGAGCCAGCGGGUGUGCAGCCUGCAGCACAUGCUCCACCUGGCCGCCUCCUCCAACCGCACGGCCCUCCUUCGCCUGCGCCGGCCCCCGCUCGAGCACCCCCGCCACCAGAGCUGGCUCAACGACACCCUGGAGAGCGUGCGCCUGUCUGGCAUCCCUCAGCACAUGGUGCUGUGGACGGAGGAGUGGGAGCGGCGCUUAGUGGAGGCGGCAGCUCCAGGCUUCCAGCAGACAUCUCUGGAGAAGCUCCCAGUGGAGGAGCUGCAGCGGAGGGGCAUCAGCCACCUGCUCCUGCGCUACAACCAGGCCAACGAGCGCGACAUCCGGGAGUUCUCCAGCCAUAACAUCAGCCUGACGCUGUACACGGUGAAUGAGCCGUGGCUGUACUCCCUGCUGUGGUGCAGUGGUGUGCCCUCCAUCUCCUCUGAGGCCCCCCAGGCCCUGCUCAAGAUGCGUGCCCCCAUCUGGCUCAUGAGUCCAGAUGAGUACUGCCUGAUUUGGAUUGCCACGGAUCUCAUCUCCUUUGCCAUUGUGCUUGGAGUCUUCGUGUUCCAAAACUUUCACCUGAUCAGGUGGCGGAUGAGUGGCAUGCGCAGCUACAACCCGGAGCAGAUCAUGCUAAGUGCAGCCGUUAGAAGAUCCAGCCGUGACGUCAACAUCAUGAAGGAAAAACUCAUCUUCUCUGGUCAGCCGCAGUUGUGAGAGUCGUGCUGAGCUCUUCGUUCCAUUUGUGCGGUUGAAUCUUUCCUUCCAACUGACCUUCAUCCAUCCAUCCAUGCACCCACCCCUGUGUGCACCCCUCCAUCUCUCCAUCCGUCAGCCCAUCCUCUGUUCCAUCCCUUCCUCGUGUGUGCUUGGUUUCCUCGUUUCCUGCAUCCCCUCCCCAUACCAUCUCUGGCCAGCCUUCUCUGAGUGUGUAGCUGUGGGGUGCUGAAAGAGGUGAGCAAUGGAAUUGGUGGUGCAGACGAACUGUACAUGGAGAACGGCUUUGACUGCUACACCAACCAGGGCAUCGCCCACUGAUGGCCAGGUGUGCAGCACUGAAGCCACUCUACUGAACAACUCCCUACUGGCAGAAAGCCAGAGGCCCCAUUUCUGUCCAGUUCCUCUUGUGCUGCUGACCAAAAAAGGGACUUCUAUGAAAGAACGAAAUAUGGGUAUCACCCAAUGCUCUGUAUAUUUUGUAAAAAUGAAGAAUGUUUUUUGUCAUUAUUAUUAUUAUUAUUAUUAUUAUUAUUAUUAUUAUUAUUAUUAUUAUUAUUAUAUUUUGUUGCUUUUGUUGAAGUCAUGACAAUGCGAUGUGUGAGAUUUGCCUUUUAAAUUGUUAUAUUUGACCUAGUCUCUCUUGUCUCCAAAUUCGAGGGGGCCAGACAGACUAGGCUUUCCAGCAGUGGAUUUAACCUCUAAUAUGCACACACUGGAAGACCAUAGGGGUCCAUCUUUUACUUUGUCCUUUUAUCUUAUCUAACUGAAGUAAUGAAAUGAUUACUGUAUAGUGUUUUGUGUCAACACACAUAUGCAGCGUUAGCAUGGUAUUCUCAGUUCUCCACCUUUGUUUGGGACUCAAACUGUUGGACUGUAUGAGCGGAAAUGGGUGUAGGCUGUGGUGCAGCAUCCCCCACCCCAGAGGGAAGAAGUGAACAUUUUAGUAUUUGAACAGACACUCUCCCCCUCCUCUGUGCAUGUGAUACACAUAUCAUUUGGAGUAAGGUGCUGAGUUUUUUUUUUUUGUUUUUUUUUUUUUUUCUUUUUUUCAAAUGGACUUUUUUUGAAUGUGUGUUUUUGUUUUUAAAUGAACUGUUGUGAUUAUGGUGGCUAGAGAGUUGAAACUGACUGUGUGAGGUUUUGUUUCUGGCUCGUGUCAAGUCGGAUUCUCUUGUAUCAAAUCUGAGUAUUACUACAGCAUGAUGUGGAAAUGCACGUCUUCUCCAGCUCUUCACUGAUGCUCUGGGACGAUGACCUUGGUUUGUCUGAAGUGUUGAACACCAGGCCAGGCACUGCAACUUGAAGCUCUGAUUUGUGAAACUACCAGUGCAGGUGUACCAAUAGAACCAGUGCACACAAUAAAGCUGAGAAAUUGCUAACAAA